UAGGUAAAAGCCAAAAUAGAGGCACUUAGCUGUUAAUUAAGAGAAUGUUAUACUAACUUACCUAG
rnacentral:tRNA from 1 species